AACGAACGCUGGCGGCAUGCCUAACACAUGCAAGUCGAACGAACCCUUCGGGGUUAGUGGCGCACGGGUGCGUAACGCGUGGGAAUCUGCCCUUUGCUUCGGAAUAACAGUUAGAAAUGACUGCUAAUACCGGAUGAUGUCUUCGGACCAAAGAUUUAUCGGCAAAGGAUGAGCCCGCGUAGGAUUAGGUAGUUGGUGGGGUAAAGGCCUACCAAGCCGACGAUCCUUAGCUGGUCUGAGAGGAUGAUCAGCCACACUGGGACUGAGACACGGCCCAGACUCCUGCGGGAGGCAGCAGUGGGGAAUAUUGGACAAUGGACGCAAGUCUGAUCCAGCAAUGCCGCGUGAGUGAUGAAGGCCUUAGGGUUGUAAAGCUCUUUUACCAGGGAUGAUAAUGACAGUACCUGGAGAAUAAGCUCCGGCUAACUCCGUGCCAGCCGCCGCCGUAAAAC
rnacentral:rRNA from 1 species